rnacentral:rRNA from 1 species
CUACGGGGUGCUGCAGUGAGGAAUAUUGCACAAUGGGGGGAACCCUGAUGCAGCAACGCCGCGUGGAGGAUGGCGCAUUUCGGUGUGUAAACUCCUUUUAUAUGUCAAGAAAAUGACGGUAGCAUAUGAAUAAGCACCGGCUAACUCCGUGCCAGCAGCCGCGGUAAUACGGAGGGUGCAAGCGUUACUCGGAAUCACUGGGCGUAAAGGACGCGUAGGCGGGUUGGAAAGUCAGGUGUGAAAGCCUACAGCUUAACUGUAGAACUGCACUUGAAACUUCUAAUCUAGAGUAUGGGAGGGGGAGAUGGAAUUAGUGGUGUAGGGGUAAGAUCCGUAGAUAUCACUAGGAAUACCUAAAGCGAAGGCGAUCUCCUGGAACAUUACUGACGCUAAGGCGUGAAAGCGUGGGGAGCAAACAGGAUUAGAUACCCUCGUAGUC